CAAAGUUUGAUUCUAACUUCAAGAUUAAUCUUAAUUUAAUAAAACACAUGCAAAACUCCUAAACCUGUAAGUAUAAUUUACCUUUAAAACUAUAAAUUCUUUUUAUAAUUAAGCCUUUCUAUUUAUUAUAUAAAUAUCUUACGCCUGCAGUGUAUAACUCUUCUAAAUUAACUAAAGUUAGAAUAGGUUAAAUUAUAUUUGUGCUGGCUAAAUCUGUGCCAGCAGUCGCGGUUAUACAGAAAACACAAUUUAAUCUAUUCAGGAUAUGAAUAAAUUGAGGUAAUUCAACUUUACUAAGGAGUUCAAUCCACUAUUUUUGUUACCCCAAUAACCUCACGUAUAUUCGAAAGUAUAGACCAAAACAAGGAUUAGAUACCCUUCUAUUCUAAACCAUAAAUUUUAACCUGGGCACUACGAACUCAUGUUUAAAACCCAAAGAACUUGGCGGCAACCUAACCCCUUAGGGGAACCUGUAAUUUAAUUUGAUAAUCCCCAUCUACCCUCCUUUAUUUUGAACUCAGCAUGUGUACUGCCGUCGUCAGUUUACCUCCCAAAAGUUAGUAAACUAAUCAAUUACCUUCAUUAUAACGUCAGGUCAAAGUGCAGCUAAUGAUAAAGUAUCUAUGGGUUACAACCUUUAUAAAGAUUGCGAAUAAGGGAAUAAAACCUUCCCUUUGAAGUUGGACUUAAUUGUAAAAAAACCAGUAAACUUUUUUGAACAAUGGAAAUCUAGGCUGUGCACAAAUCGCCCGUCACUCCCCUCCAAAGAGGGGAUAAGUCGUAACAUAGUAGGAGUAAUGGAAAUUGCUCCUAC
rnacentral:ncRNA from 1 species